rnacentral:tRNA from 1 species
AUUUCUUUGGCUCAGUUGGUAGAGCAUGGUGUUUGCAACGCCAGGGUUGUGGGUUCGAUUCCCACGGGGGACC